UGCGCAGGCGGAAUGAUAAGUCAGUGGUGAAAUCCUACGGCUCAACCGUAGAACUGCCAUUGAUACUGUUGUUCUUGAGUACAGUUGUAGUGGGCGGAAUAUGUCAUGUAGCGGUGAAAUGCAAAGAUAUGACAUAGAACACCGAUCGCGAAGGCAGCUCACUAAGCUGAAACUGACGCUCAGGCACGAAAGCGUGGGGAGCAAACAGGAUUAGAUACCCUGGUAGUCC
rnacentral:rRNA from 1 species